AACGAGUAAAUAACGUCCACCAGCUUUCAUCACAAACAGCGAGAAGAUAUUGAGAAGAAACAACGAUGACAACGAUGGUUACAACGACCACAAAAGAAUGUUUGGGUAUGUUGGUUUUUUAAAUCCAAGCUAACCACUAAAAGGACGGACCAUACAACGACACCCUCUUCAACAACAACGAAAAAAUAUCCUCCUUCAGUCGCUGAGCUGCGAGAUUUCAUGGAGCUCCAUGCAUUCCCUGCGAUUGUUCAUAUCGGAAAUAGACUUUAAAUCGAACAUUCCACCUCCAUGCCCGGGGUGCUUUAUUUCAGGAAAAAACAAGGCAAAGAUAUCGCAUUCAAACAUCAUCAGGUAUCGAUCUAUAUUGGAUUCGGUUCGUGCAUGACGGAGUCGAUUUUCAGAUAGCGCGAGGAAGGGACUUGUUGUUCAGAAAUCGUGCGCGUUGUGAAGUGUGCGCUCAGUGACACGCAGAGUAAUACACACUAUAAGAAUAAUAAAUAUUAUUCUCUUCAUGAAACACAUUAUGACACACCGCAACACGCAUCCUAACACGCAAAACAACACACACCAAAAAAUA